rnacentral:rRNA from 1 species
GGGGAAUCUUCCGCAAUGGGCGAAAGCCUGACGGAGCAAUACCGCGUGAGGGAGGAAGGCUCUUGGGUUGUAAACCUCUUUUCUCAGGGAAGAAGCUCUGACGGUACCUGAGGAAUCAGCAUCGGCUAACUCCGUGCCAGCAGCCGCGGUAAUACGGAGGAUGCAAGCGUUAUCCGGAAUGAUUGGGCGUAAAGCGUCCGCAGGUGGCACUUCAAGUCUGCUGUCAAAGGCUGUGGCUUAACCACGGACAGGCAGUGGAAACUGAAGAGCUAGAGUGCGGUAGGGGUAGAGGGAAUUCCCGGUGUAGCGGUGAAAUGCGUAGAGAUCGGGAAGAACACCAGUGGCGAAAGCGCUCUACUAGGCCUGCACUGACACUCAGGGACGAAAGCUAGGGGAGCGAAUGGGAUUAGAUACCCCAGU